AAAACAUAUCCUGGUGUCCCAUACCAAGGUGGGCCCUGCCCGGUGAAUAUAUUUAACGGCCGCAGUACCCUGACUGUGCUAAGGUAGCGUAAUCAGUUGGCUUUUAAAUGGAGUCGAGAAUGAAAGGGUGAAUGGGGAGGUACUGUCUCUGCCUGAAGGAAAUGAAAUUACCAGGUGGGUGAAAAUGCCCACAAGUAAAAUAAAGACGAGAAGACCCUUAGAAUCUGGACGAUUAAGGUUAGCAUUGACCUUUAGUUUUUGUUGGGGCGACAACGAGGCAGCAUAAAGAAUCACAGCUAAACCCUCGCUAAUGCACGAAGGACAAGACAAGUUUACUAAGACAGGAUAGAUUACCUUAGGGAUAACAGCAUAAUUUUGAAAAGUUUGUGACCUCGAUGUUGGACUAGGGACCCUACGACUAGCCGUCGUAACGGCGAGAUU
rnacentral:rRNA from 1 species